GACGAACGCUGGCGGCGUGCCUAAUACAUGCAAGUAGAACGCACAGUUUAUACCGUAGCUUGCUACACCAUAGACUGUGAGUUGCGAACGGGUGAGUAACGCGUAGGUAACCUGCCUGGUAGCGGGGGAUAACUAUUGGAAACGAUAGCUAAUACCGCAUAAUAUUGAUUAUUGCAUGAUAAUUGAUUGAAAGAUGCUAUUGCAUCACUACCAGAUGGACCUGCGUUGUAUUAGCUAGUAGGUGAGGUAACGGCUCACCUAGGCGACGAUACAUAGCCGACCUGAGAGGGUGAUUGGCCACACUGGGACUGAGACACGGCCCAGACUCCUACGGGAGGCAGCAGUAGGGAAUCUUCGGCAAUGGACGAAAGUCUGACCGAGCAACGCCGCGGGAGUGAAGAAGGGUUUCGGAUCGUAAAGCUCUGUUGUAAGAGAAGAACGGGUGUGAGAGUGGAAAGUUCACACUGUGACGGUAGCUUACCAGAAAGGGACGGCUAACUACGUG
rnacentral:rRNA from 1 species